rnacentral:rRNA from 1 species
UACGAGGGGGGCGAGCGUUGUUCGGAAUUACUGGGCGUAAAGGGUGCGUAGGUGGUUAAGUAAGUUAUCUGUGAAAUCCCUGGGCUCAACCUGGGCAGGUCAGAUAAUACUGUUUAACUCGAGUAUGGGAGAGGGUAGUGGAAUUUCCGGUGUAGCGGUGAAAUGCGUAGAGAUCGGAAGGAACACCAGUGGCGAAGGCGGCUACCUGGCCUAAUACUGACACUGAGGCACGAAAGCGUGGGGAGCAAACAGG